GCUUGGUUUUCGAGCUAGGCCUGGAACGUGUUGGGAUGAUUUGACUUGUGAUCGGACUCCGGCGAAAAUUGCGGCGGCGAGGAUAAGUGCGAAAGCUACGACGAGUGAUGAGACAAGAAGCUUCUUUCUUCUCGGACUAGUAUUAUCCGGUUGUGAUGUCGUGGAGACUUGGCUUAGGUUCGGAGACGGAGCUGUUGUGGUGGUUGCGACCGAACCACUUGAUUUCGACGGUUCGAGCCUUUCGUAGCCCAUUUUGUUCUCGUUCUAGUCUCUUUUGUGAUUUUACAUUCCAAAGGACGUAAGUGCGUAUAUAUAUGAGUAGUGAGUGAGAAAAGUGUACCGUAAAUUUACCUCCCGGCUUUAACAUAGAUAAUAGUCCGGCGAGUGCUGUGCUGAGGAGCUUUCUUGAUAGCUUCCGAUAUAGUUUUACACGUGCCGUUGCCGUCUUUGGAGACGAUGAUAUCAGCUUGUAUCUGAGACACCGGCAUUUCCAGUAGUUCCCGCUCUCUUCUCUUGGUCCAUCUCGGGAACUUCAUGUUCCUGUCUCCUCCUCCUACUUCCAAAAGCCUCCUGUUCUGUAUCGGCACUCCGGCGAAAUCGUCGCCGUCACCGCUCGCCGCGAAUAUCGCCAAACAGUUGCUGACGAGCUCCGAGAGAUUCUUCAGCGCAUCAGUCAUCUGAUCCUUCACUCCGCCGUCGCCGACGCCGUCGAAUCCUUCCGUACACGUGUCAUGGUUCGUCAGAGCCGAGCUCAGCCACGUCAUCACGUCUUGCGGCUUCGUUUGGCCGCCGGAGACGGAGACCACGGAGGAGAGAGCGCGUGAGAGCGCGUCGACGGAAUCGUCUAGCAGCUCGACACAAGACUCGUAGGCGGAGCGGACACGUGGUGGCAUGUCCAGGAAGGAGAAGGAGGAAGAGGAGUAGAGUGCUUGACUGAAGUGGUGGAGCGUCAUGUUCACCGUCACGUGAAUCAGAUCUUUCGGGGAGGAGGCGGCGAGUGAGCCGGGGAAGUCCAUGAGUGAGUCAACGCAUAACUCGGGGAAACGAGUCAACGCGCAAGCUUUUGAGAUUGCUUGGCUUGGUUUUCGAGCUAGGCCUGGAACGUGUUGGGAUGAUUUGACUUGUGAUCGGACUCCGGCGAAAAUUGCGGCGGCGAGGAUAAGUGCGAAAGCUACGACGAGUGAUGAGACAAGAAGCUUCUUUCUUCUCGGACUAGUAUUAUCCGGUUGUGAUGUCGUGGAGACUUGGCUUAGGUUCGGAGACGGAGCUGUUGUGGUGGUUGCGACCGAACCACUUGAUUUCGACGGUUCGAGCCUUUCGUAGCCCAUUUUGUUCUCGUUCUAGUCUCUUUUGUGAUUUUACAUUCCAAAGGACGUA
rnacentral:lncRNA from 1 species